rnacentral:lncRNA from 1 species
GAGAGCAAGAACAGCCCGCAGGUCCCGAGGCGCUUGCAGGGGACUCUGCCGCGGAAAGUUCCCAGUCCCCAGCCGCAGUGAAGUCCUUCUACCUAGUUCCCCUUCCUUGUGCACAGAAGAGGACUGGAAAACUCCUCACAGGACUGCAUACUGCUAUCUCUGAGAAACCAGAAAGAAGAAAGUACCUCUUCCUUCCAAGCUUCUACCUAAGAGUAUACUGGAAGGUUUACCUAGAGCAACAAGACAACGAAAUGGAUUGUCCUUCUCACGCUAGUCCACACACAAUCCUCAUCAUUUUGAUAAGAUAGCAUGAAGUCUCUUAUCGCUUGUGGAUCCAGCACUUUGGUUCAGGUUCAUCUGCCCAUAAUUCUCUAAGAUUUGGAGCUGUUGAGGAGUGGCUCAUAGUAGACACUGAACCAUCAGCCAACAGCAUUUGUUGUCCUGGAUGUCUGUGCCAACCUUUCGAGUCACACUGGGGUCUAAAGACACACCUGGAAUAAAAAUCAGAAUGCUUAAGAAACUUAAUAUGAUCUGCGGGAGAAUACAUGAGGUUUUUGUUUCAUACCACAGUCUGAUGACAGCAUGGAUUUCAACUGAUGAUGUUCACCUUUGCCUCUUGGGUAUGUUGACCUCACAGUCGUCCCCUGAUAAGACUGCUCUUUUCCUUGGUGUUUAAUAAAUAAGGGAAUCUACACGGAGAUACUACAAAUAUUCUAUCUUACCUAAACUUUAUCAACCAAGUUUAAAGUUUGCUGGCAUACUGUGUUAGUGUAAGGACAGUUACUACUUUCUGUACUAAUUUCACAUUUUUCUAAAAGAGGAUUUAUUCUUACCCAUGCAUCCGUUUGUUGUUUGUUCAAAUUACCAUGGAAUUGAUCUACAAUGUUAAACUAAUACCAUCAUUAUUUAGCUGAUUUUCACUAGGUCAGAGCUAAGGCUGAUUUUCUCCUGUUUAAUUUUGAAAUGUUCCCAUGUGUUUGUUUUCUGUUGUUAGCAUAUUUUAAACUCCCAUGAGCUUCAGGCUUAUCGUAUUCUGUAUAUGUACCAGGCUUGGGAUCAACUAUCAGUUGUAUCUCCAAGGAGCCCUUGUCCCUUCUUUUGAAAGUUGGUUCUUAGAAAGUAUUAACAUAAUAUUGGUACACCCUUGGAUUUCAUUACUUCUAUUUCCACGCAAACAAAAAGAUGGUGAAGAUACAUAUAUGCACUGUGGUGGCUUGAGAAAGAAUGCUCCUCACAUUGACUUAUAUAUUUGAAUACUUGAUGCUCCAUUAGAACUCUUUGGGAAGGAUUAGGAGGUGAGGCCUUGUUGGAAGAGGUAAGUCACUGGUGGCCAGCUUUGAGGUUUUAAAAGACUGGUGCCAUUCCUAAUGUGCCUCUCUCCCUCUUUUUCUUCUAGGUCAAUAUGUGAGCUCAGAGAUUUCCCUGCUUUUGUUCUGUCAUUAUGGAUUCUAAACUUCUGAAACUACAUACUCAAUUAAAUGUUUUCUUUUAUAAA